GGUGCCAAGUCACAAGUGCAGAGAAACUUCCUCUUUCUUGGGCGGGGGUGGGGCCUGGCCGAAGCUCCAGGCCCCUGACCCGCGGGCUGAGGCCCUGAGUCACAGCCGAGUCCCUAGGCCCCCUGGUGUCUCCGCCCUCCCGGGCCCCGGCCGGGCGCCCCCAAACCCAGGCCGAGCAGGCACCGCGCCCCACCCGGCCCCGCAGCCCCACGGAUCCCGCACCCCGGCACCUGAGGAUGUUGUCCGCGUAGAUUGUCAGGCCUUUCUGGAUAGAAGUGGCGAAAGACUCCAGAAGGAAGGAGCAACAAACGUUCAAAAACAACCGAGUGGCAGUAAAAGGCUGCUGGGUUUCUGGUAUGUGAAUUAUUUCUAGAAUUACGUGAAUGCUUGAAAAUCUCUUGCGUAAGUCCCAGCUCAAAUAGCAUGAUGGCUAUUUAAAGAAGUUUCCAAACUGCACUUUGCAAUAUGGUGUUUUGUGGACUUGGUUUACCCAGUAGUGUGACCAGCAUUAAACGCAUACACAAUUAGGACAAAAUAGAAUAGAAUGCGGGGAGAGGAAAGACAAUAAAAAUAUA